UACGGAGGGUGCAAACGUUGCUCGGAAUCAUUGGGCGUAAAGCGCACGUAGGCGGUCCGGUUAGUCGGAUGUGAAAGCCCUAGGCUUAACCAAGGAAGUGCAUUCGAAACUGCCGGACUUGAGUACGGGAGAGGAUCGCGGAAUUCUCGGUGAAGAGGUGAAAUUCGUAGAUAUCGGGAGGAACACCAGUGGCGAAGGCGGCGGUCUGGACCGAUACUGACGCUGAGGUGCGAAAGCGUGGGGAGCAAACAGG
rnacentral:misc_RNA from 1 species